rnacentral:rRNA from 1 species
GAAUAUUGCGCAAUGGCCGAAAGGCUGACGCAGCGACGCCGCGUGUGGGAGGACGCUUUUCGGAGUGUAAACCACUGUCAGGGGAGAAGAACUCCGCAUGUGCGAACAGUGCAUGCGGCUGACGGUACCCCCAAAGGAAGCGCCGGCUAACCCCGUGCCCACCGCCGCGGUAAGACGGAGGGCGCAAGCGUUGUUCGGAAUUACUGGGCGUAAAGCGCGCGCAGGCGGUUGCUUAAGUCCUUUGUGAAAAUCCGGAGCUCAACUCCGUGAAAUGCAGAGGAUACUGGGAGACUAGAGGCCGGUAGAGGCUGGCGGAAUUCCUGGUGUAGCGGUGGAAUGCGUAGAUAUCAGGAAGAACACCGGUGGCGAAGGCGGCCAGCUGGGCCGGGUCUGACGCUCAGGCGCGAAAGCGUGGGGAGCAAACAGG